rnacentral:rRNA from 1 species
UUUGUGAAUUGCAGAAUCCCGUGAACCAUCGAGUUUUUGAACGCAAGUUGCGCCCGAAGCCAUCCGGCUGAGGGCACGCCUGCCUGGGCGUCA